UACGGAGGGUACAAGCGUUAAUCGGAAUUACUGGGCGUAAAGCGCAUGUAGGCGGUUUGAUAAGUCGGACGUGAAAGCCCUCAGCUCAACUGAGGAACUGCGUUUGAUACUGUCAAGCUAGAGUCUCGGAGGGGAUGGCGGAAUUCCCGGUGUAGAGGUGAAAUUCGUAGAUAUCGGGAGGAACACCCGUGGCGAAGGCGGCCAUCUGGAAGAGUACUGACGCUGAGAUGCGAAAGCGUGGGGAGCAAACAGG
rnacentral:misc_RNA from 1 species